rnacentral:rRNA from 1 species
UAGUGAUUUGAGUUUGAUCAUGGCUCAGGAUGAACGCUGGCGGUAUGCUUAACACAUGCAAGUCGAACGGAAUCCUUAGGGAUUUAGUGGCGGACGGGUGAGUAACGCGUGAGAAUCUGCCUUCAGGUCUGGGACAACCACUGGAAACGGUGGCUAAAACCGGAUGUGCAGCAAUGUGAAAUAUUUAUAGCCUGGAGAUGAGCUCGCGUCUGAUUAGCUAGUAGGUGUGGUAAGAGCGCACCUAGGCGACGAUCAGUAGCUGGUCUGAGAGGAUGAUCAGCCACACUGGGACUGAGACACGGCCCAGACUCCUACGGGAGGCAGCAGUGGGGAAUUUUCCGCAAUGGGCGAAAGCCUGACGGAGCAAUACCGCGUGAGGGAGGAAGGCUCUUGGGUUGUAAACCUCUUUUCUCAAGGAAGAACACAAUGACGGUACUUGAGGAAUAAGCAUCGGCUAACUCCGUGCCAGCAGCCGCGGUAAUACGGAGGAUGCAAGCGUUAUCCGGAAUGAUUGGGCGUAAAGCGUCCGCAGGUGAAUCGAAUU